UCUUUUCCCCAAAUUAAAAAUAUCAGAACUUUUAGAUCUCACAGAGUGAAGAACAACGCCUGCUUCUCCAAAGCUAAAAAUUGUCAAGAACGAUUCAUAGAUUUAAGAACGACGCCAUCUUCUCCAUAGAUUAAAUUUCUCAUAAGCGAUGCUUUACCUAGUGAAUAAUGACACAUAUUUCAGUUUCAUGGUUUUUAACCUAUGACCUAUGAAAAUCCCUCAUAGAUUUGUCAUUUUUCAUCAAGGAUGGAAUAGAAGGCUUCACUUAAGUAGGUGAUGUCUCAAAGAUUCAUCACAUUGAAAGGACAUUGUUGGUAUAUGGUUUAUCAAGUAAAUGAUUUUAUGUUUAAAAAAGUCUAACUCUAUGGCAUCAGAAAUUAUCGCUUUUACACAUUAAGCUUUAGGAUUUUGAUAUUUUUGGGUUGUUGAUACGAUUUUUGUUGAUUUUGUUGAUACAAAAGGAAAUAAGGUAACAAAUGUUUUUUUUUUUUGGCUUCAUUUUCCUUUAACUUGGUCUGAGUAAGUUGGUUGAUAUUGUUUCGGCAUAUCUUUGAUGGGUCAUUUUCUUGUUAAUAAAUCAUAGAUAGUGUUAAUCUCUUUAUGAGGUUAAUAAACUCAAGUUUUACAUAGAUUGGGGCUAAGCAGCAUUCGAUGAUUCAAAGUUUAGCAUGGACCUUGUUUAAUUGUUUUCGCUAAUGUUUAAGAAUGUUAUGAGCUAGAAUAGUGCACUCUGGGAUUUGUUCAAUAAAUCUUACUAGAAAAAGAAGAUAAUUUUAGUUCCCUUCAUGUUGAAUCUCUUUGCUUUACAUUUUAAGUUUCAUAUGAUAUUUCUGCUGUAGAUCUGCAGAAUCCAAUAUUGUAUGCUUCGUGUAUGAUGAAUUCUUAUGGUUGAUGUCUAAGUUGCACUUCUCUCUACCACGUUGUUGAAGCAUAUACCUAUAAUAAUUUUCUAUUUAAUUGAAGAACUUUACCCGUAACUACCUUUGUGUAUGUUCCGGAUCCAGUUCUGGAAAAGGUACUUAUAGAGGUCACAAAUAAUAGUUGCCAUGGAGGGGUAAUGAACUAGUUAUCUCAUCAACCAAUUUUGCUGGAUCAGGUCUCCAAAUCAUUCAAAGAAGAAGUAGUGAACAGGUGCACUCUAUUGUUGCCAUUGUUAUUUUUGUUUGUCAAGAUUUCAACUGUCUUUCAUUCUCAUCCUUAAAACGUAAAAGGGUUUACAUGUUGUUCGUGUAGCUUGUUAAUGAUUUUUGGUGGUAAGUUAAUUUCUUGUUUGGGUAGUUGUUAAUAUUGUUCAUUGCAAAUGCAUUUCAUUUAAACUUUGUAAUAAGUCAUUAGAUAAGUGACUUUUUCUAGGUCUCUUGGAGUUUCAAUUGACUUCACAACAUACCUUCACAUGAUUUUUUUUACUUUUUAUAUGUCGAUAUAUAUAGGCUUCAAAUUAUGAGAACCAUAGUGCUUCUACCUCGUGCCUUACCUUGCAAAGAUCGUGCAUCUUUUUCUUCUUCCUUGCAGUGGUGGUUGCAAACAUUGUUUUCUACUUUUGAUACAAGUUUUCAUUUUGCAUUAUGUUCUUGAAAUGCUGGAAUAGAAUUGGAGAUUUCACUAAUAUGUUUCCUAGUAAAUUUGUGUGUAUAUAUUGCUUGUGUACCUAAUUCCCUUAGAAAGAGAGCUCGCGAUCUUUGGAAUCACUACACCUUGGAAAAUAUGCAGAGGUGAGUACACUAUUGGGCACUGAAUAUAUUUAUUUUUGGUUAUAACCAUUAUUCUUUGAUAAUAUCAUAUAAACAUUCCCUUGUAGUGGUUUGAUGAUGUAUUCUCAAUCGAUAUAUUUGAUAAGUGUGAGAAUGUUCUCAUUCGACUAUCAGAAAAGCAUGGAACAAUUUUUACAUUCUUCAUUGCUUUAUCUUGGAUUUUGGCUGGUGUAUAUUCUAGCUUUGGUUUAGAAUUGUUGGAACAAGUAGAGUAAAUAUUGUGAGUAUCUAUCAUUCUACAAUAUUGUUAGUACGUCUAAUAUUUUUCCUUUAUCUCAGCGUUGAAAACUUUAGAGAUUGUAGUCUUUGUUAUAUGCUUUCUUCUUCUUAUUUUGUCACCUGGAAAGGAGAAAUAUUGACAUAUGAUACUCAUACAAAUCUGUUAUUUUUGGAAAAUUGAUUUUCUUGGAAUUACAUACUAUGGCAUCUUAUUAUCAUAUGAAAUACAUUAUUACCAUAAUGAAUGCAUGUUUUAAUAGCAACUAAGAGUCAUGUUUUUCAUAACGAUACCACUACAUUGGGAAGUGGCUGAGAAAUCCAAAAUAAAGUGAAGAUUUUAGUACUAAAGUGUAGACUAUAACAAUAUUGUAACAGCUUAUCGCGCAAGUGAUAUUUGUUUGUUUUAGGCCUAGUCCAACAUGUCUAUAAAAUAUGUCUUUAGGAUGCAUUUCUGUAUAUACUCAACAUCUUUCUAGUGUUCUAUGAUGUGGAUUUUCCUAGAGUGUCACAAAUACUAUAUUCUAAAAUCUUAUUGCUAGUUGUUUUUUUCAGUCAAGCGAACCUUACUGGAAUGUGCCUAUAGGAAAAAACACGGACAAGUAUCAAUAGCUAGUGAAACAACACUGCUUCCAAAGCCUACAUUCAACAUUUCUCAACUAAAACAAAGCUUCCAUCAAAGAAGUCUCGCACUAGACGACUUGGUGGCUCUCUUAGUUCAGCAUACAGAAUACUCCAAAAAAUUUUACUAGUUAAUUUCUUAAAUGGCUACUCAACUUACUUCUGAUACAACUAUAUGUUCUCUUUGGCUAUAAGGUGCACACGCUCUAGUAUUUAGAAAUUUCUCAUCAUUUACGAAUCACAUAUACAACUUCAACGCCACAAGUUACAUUGAUCCUACACUACGUCCAUCGUUUGCAAAAAGCUUGAGGGGCAUAUUUCCACUCAAAAAUAGGGCAAAAAAAUGUAGGAAUAAGCAAUGAUCUUGCACCAACAACAUUUGAUAAUACUCAUUACUCUGAUCUCAUGGGGAGUUGCUGGUACGAAUCUUGUGUGGUAGAAAGAAUACCUUCUUGGUGAUGAAUUGUAAUUUCGAAAAAAUGUGACCUUUUAAAUUUUUUGAAGACAUAUUGUUUUAAUUUAUUCUUUUACUUGUUUCUUUAUGGCUUAUUGAAAUCGUAGCCUUUUUAAUAGCUGUUCUUUUCUUAUAUAUCAUAGUCUUUAUUCAUGCAGAUGGAAUCCUCAUGAUAGAGGUUGAUAGUCUUCUUAGACCUGGUGUCUACUGGGUGCUUUCUGGCCCUCCUAUCAAGUGGAAGACUAAUUACAAGGCCUUGCUACGCCCUAUGGAGGACCUUCAGGAAGAACAAAGGAAAAUUUAAGAGAUUGACAAACUUUUUUGCUGGGAGAAGAUAUCUGAGAAGGGUGAGACUACUAUUUUUUUUUGAAAAGGAUGGACGCCGACUAAUUCCAUUCUACACAAGAAGAUUCUGAAGCUACACUUUAAAAAUUGACAGAUGCUGAUGAUGUAUGGUAUAAUAAAAUGGAAGCAUGCAUAACAUUAAGCAAAGGCAAUGGUGAUGACGAAGGUCUGAAACCAUUCUGUGAGAGACUUUAUGUUGUUCCACCAAGAAUUUCUGAUGGACUAGUUUCUGGAGUAUCCGUUUAGGUAUAUCUAGAAGAAAAAAAGAAAUGGAAGAUGCACGUUAGUGCUUAUAAGAAAAUAAACAAGCUCAUAGACACAAGAAGGUACUGUAAUAUCAUGAACAUGAAUUCUGGACUUGGAAGUUUUCCUGCAGCUCUUCAAUCUCCCAAGUUGUGGGUUAUGAAUGUUAUCCCUAUGAUAGCCGAGAAAAAUAUAUUGGGAGUCAUAUAUGAACGUGGGCUUAUCGGAAUUUAGCAUGACUGAAGACCAACUGGUGAACGUGAGGUAUCUGAUCCAAACAUACACAAUUGUGUUCGAAAUGGAGGGUUAUUGAGAGAACAGUCAUACAGAAAACAAAAAGAAAAUAAAGCAUACCGUCAGUGGAUAUGCCACAGCUAACAUACUGGCAUACAAGGAUGGCAGCUUUGGUUUGGAAAAUGCCGGUGAUUAAAUUUAAAUUGUGGAGAGAAGUAAACUCGAUCUAUUGUAGUGAAUGAUGAAGAUAUUUUGUACUAUUGUCAUAUACGUUUGAAUGCAUUUGGUUUUUUUGGAAUUUAUUGAUAUUAGAGAUCUUUAAGCAA